rnacentral:rRNA from 1 species
GCCAGACUCCUACGGGAGGCAGCAGUGGGGAAUAUUGGGCAAUGGGCGCAAGCCUGACCCAGCAACGCCGCGUGAAGGAAGAAGGCUUUCGGGUUGUAAACUUCUUUUCUCAGGGACGAAGAAAGUGACGGUACCUGAGGAAUAAGCCACGGCUAACUACGUGCCAGCAGCCGCGGUAAUACGUAGGUGGCAAGCGUUAUCCGGAUUUACUGGGUGUAAAGGGCGUGUAGGCGGGGAAGCAAGUCAGAUGUGAAGACCAGGGGCUCAACCUGUGGCUUGCAUUUGAGACUGGUUUUCUUGAGUACUGGAGAGGCAGACGGAAUUCGUGGUGUAGCGGUGAAAUGCGUAGAUAUUAGGAGGAACACCGGUGGCGAAGGCGGUCUGCUGGACAGCAACUGACGCUGAGGCGCGAAAGCGUGGGGAGCAAACAGGAUUAGAUACCCGAGUAAU